UUUUUUUUUUUUUUUUUUUUUUUUUUUUUACUACCCUCAUUUUUCUUUUCAACUCUUCAUGGCCUCCAGCCUUCACCACACUGGACCCAACGUUAGCCAAACUGGUCUCAAUAGAAAGGGGGAAUCAAGUCUUUUGAGCGUCUGAGACUUGUGGGAUGAUGGGUGACCUGGCAUUGUCCUUGGAAUCCCUUCUGAGAGUCUCAGUGUGAACUGACAACUGUACCUGCCUGACUUAAGCGGCAUCUUUGAAGGACUGGUAACUAGGGGCAGCUGCUAUUAAUCUCCACUCUGCAGAUGGGAAGCAGCCUCUCUCAGAGGGGUACAAGUGACUUCCUGUAUUAUUGCUUCCUGUAAUGGAGGGCAAGUCUCGAUCCUAAUGGAAAAUUCACUCCUCGUGCAGCUGAUUCUCCCAGAUGCCACUCUAAGGUACCCGAAUCUGUGUCCAUUUCUCUUCCUGCCUGCAGCACACCCCAGACCACGCCACCCUCUCAAGGCUGGUGGAGUGGAGACGCUCUGAGAAGUUCUCUUUGCAGCCACCAGAUGGCGCUAUUGGCCUAAAGUGCUCCGCGGCUUCCAGAAGAACAAAGGGCCCCUCAGCUACUAUACCCUCAAAGGGGAAGCUAUUGUGCAAGCCCACAUCCUCUGUGGUUCUCUCCUGAGGAAGGACUCUUGAAGUAUGGAAGUCCUUUGUGAACUUAAUCACCUCCUUCAGUUCCCAGAAGUGUCUCAAUCUAGGAUGUCCCUGUAGGCUCUUAAAUACCAAGAUGCUCUCUCUUCCAAGAUGCUUCCAAGUAGCCCCGCGGGGAAAAGAAGACAGCUUCAGGGACUCUGUCAUGGAGACAACGGAAGCCAGAGAGGUUACGUGUACCGCCGGCUCCAUUUCACACAGCUGAGAAUAGCUCAGCCGCAGUGUGAGCGCAGGACUGUGGCACACUCUUUUGUUCUGCUUUCCACUUCCACCCGGCUCCCUUUCUUCGCCACUUCUCUACCACAGACAGGGGGGACACAUCUUGGGAACGGGACCAGAUCUGGCCUUCCCAGCUCUAUGAGCUAGGCCAGAGUUCCUACCUUCUCUGCCCUGUAUGCUCUCCUUAAAGGAUUCUCUCUCCCUUCCAUUCUGCCCUAGCCUGGCAUUACAGUGGAUCCUCCCUUGUCACUCCCUUGUCUCUCCGUUCCCAUCUUCCACUUUAGGGUCUCUGACUCCCUUUCUGGGUUCAGUUAAGGUCACACAAUCCCAGGAAGAAAAGUCAAGUUUCCAGAACCCCAUAGGAGGGAGGAGAACACAAUCAUCGUUGAGUGAGGUCUGGAGCACCAAAACUACAAAUAAACAACAACACUCCAGAUACCUCAGUCCUCAGCCUAGCCUUGCCCCGACUCAGUCAACCCCACAGUGGGACAUUCACCUGCCUCCAGCCUCUAUAAGACCCACAAAAAUCCCCUCCCCAGAAGACCCCAGGAAGCAGCUCAGAGAAAGCCAGUAAGGUGUGCACGUAUCUCAAGAAGUCAUCUGCUUCCUAGGGCUUUGGGCUGGAGACCUUCAGGAAGGUCUUCCAAGUCCCUUCCCAAAAGGGUCAGGAUCUUUUCUUCUGUAACCUUUAUAUCUUUACUAUUCCAAUUUAUUUUUCCCAAAGAUGUAUUUGUUUUAUGUGCCCUGGUAUUUUGCCUGCAUGCAUGUCUAUGUGCCAGAUCCCCUAACACUGGAGUUACAGGCACUUGUGAGAUGCCACGUGGAUGUGGGGAUUGAACCUGAGGCUUCUGGAAGAGUGCCCUGUGCUUUUGAGCCCCAAUUAUCCAGAUUUAAACAGGCUCAGAGAGGUGGUGUGGCCUGUCCCAGAAAGUUGAUUUUAAAAGGAGAUUUGAACUCAGCAAACACUUGGCUCUCCCCAUGACUAAACCCCAGCCUGACUCUUCCUGACUAAUCCCCCAGUUUCUCCUGAGCAGGUCAGCAGAAUCUCUCACCUUAUUAACAUUGUUGUUUUGUUUUCUUCUUGAGAUAAGAUCUCACACUAAUCCAGGCUGGCUUUAAACUCAUGACAAUCCUCCUGCCUCAGCUCUCCAAGUACCCAUCUGGAUUUCUGUCCUAGAAGAUGAUUUUUAUCCUAGUUUCUUGCCUAGAGUUCAGGCCUUUGGACUUGGUGGUGCCCCAAGGCUAUAGUGAACUGGGAAUAACAGCUGAGCACGAUGUCUUGCUCAAGGGAGAGCAUCGCACAAACCAGCUGCAGGCUGUUGAGCCUGUCGACAUUACACUGGAGGCUUUUUGUAUUGUUUUGUUUUACUUUUGUGAUAUUGGGAAUGAAACCAGGAUCUUGUCCAUAUAGACAAGGGUUGGCCCAAGCCCCAACCUGAUCAUACAGUCUUUAAAUGACACAUGGCUUGGAAAAGAACCUAAAGAAGCCAUAAGCCUCCCAGUGUCAGCUCCCUCCUGAGCCCCACCCUUAGCUUCUCCAUGGCCAUUGCGUUUCCUCCUGACACAGCUCCAUGAUUCCUGGGCACCAGUGGGCAAAGUACAGAAUCCUGGCUUCAUUUUCAACAAGUCCAUAAUCCAGUGAAACGACAGACUGGUACUCUACCACCCGAAAGGACACUUCUGCUGGCCUGAGAACUCUGCUUCCUGGAACUUUAAAGUGUAUCUCCAUAGGCCUACUGACAUAGGCGUGUGACUGCUAAAUACUUGGGGGCUGAGGCAGGAGGAUGGCAAGUCCAGCGCCUACCUGGAUAAUUUAGUGAGACCCCCAUCUC
rnacentral:lncRNA from 1 species